UACAGAGGGGGCAAGCGUUGUUCGGAAUUACUGGGCGUAAAGGGCGCGUAGGCGGCCAACUAAGUCAGACGUGAAAUCCCUCGGCUUAACCGGGGAACUGCAUCUGAUACUGGAUGGCUUGAGUUCGGGAGAGGGAUGCAGAAUUCCAGGUGUAGCGGUGAAAUGCGUAGAUAUCUGGAGGAACACCGGUGGCGAAGGCGGCAUCCUGGACCGGUAUUGACGCUGAUGCGCGAAAGCCAGGGGAGCAAAC
rnacentral:rRNA from 1 species